rnacentral:lncRNA from 1 species
CUGAACAUUCUAAAUAAUUGAUCGAUUUCAGAGUCUCCUUGGAAAAGGGGUUUCCGCGUUGCCAUUUCGGCAAAAAUGCAUCCAAUGGACCAUAUGUCGACGGGACAUGAAUAUCGUGGAGAGCCCAGUAAUACCUCGGGUGCUCUGUACCACAGAGUAACAAUUUCAUGAGUGUAUAUGCGUACUGGAAUGCCAAAAGAUCUUCCCAGGCCAAAGUCGGCAACUUUAAUUAGGCCAUUUUUGUCAAUAAGUAAAUUUUGAGGUUUCAAAUCCCGAUGCAAGACUCUUCGACGAUGGCAGAAUAAAAUUGCAUCUGUUAUUUGAAACAAAUAGCUUCGCACAAGUUUGCUAUCCAUAAGUUUCUCUGGGGGUAGCGAGUCCAUAUAUUUCUUAAGAUCCAUUGAUAAAAAUUCAAAUAUCAAGUAAAUGCGGUUUUCCUCCAUUAAUACAUCUUCCAAACAGACGAUAUUUGAAUGUUUUAGUUCUUUGAGUAAAGAAAUUUCUCUAAAAUAAAAACGAUAAGAAAAUAAUAUAGACGUGACCGAAAAAGGAACGUUUGCAAGUACUAAUCCGUAAGAGCAAGAUCAAUAAAAAAAACAUUGCUAUUGUCGCUUCCGCUCUCACUUGGAACUGGUCAAUGUAGUGUCAAUAUUAGUGCAUAGGGCACCAAUACCUUGGGAAAGGGGUUUUAGACAUCAUAAAGACAAAAAAAAUGUUAAUUGUACGUUUCAUAUACUUAAAUUUUAAUUGCUUUUUGUUUGCAACUCUUUCUCUUUACGUUGACCGUACGCCAAGUUAUAUUUGUUCAAACUAGACUCUAGUGACAAGAGUGAUCAUGGUGUACGAAUAAUAUGAGUGCCUACUGUAUGUACAUACAUAUGUAUGUGCAUAUACACAUAUACCAUUAAGCCGCUAUACUCAUCUCGGUUUGUAGUUUAACUAAAAGCAUUUUCUUAAUUGUGUGCCUUUAGAAUGUACAUAGGUACAUACAUACAUACAUAUGCAUAUACAUCCGAAUGUAUCAAAAUAUCUAAGCUAAGCUCCACACUCGGCUUUGAAAGCAUAGCCCCGUUCAAAAUGCAGCAUAAAUAAAUAGAGACAUUACACUUAGGUAUGUAUGGGACAUACACAUGAGAGAGAGAAUGUAAUAACGUGUAAUAAUACACUUACAUAAAAAAGGCAACAUUGAACAAAUGUUGGGGUGUUCAAAACGAGUUAGCCUUACCUGAUAGCAGUGGACGGGACUCCUUCGUCGUCAGACUCCAAGCGAAUUUUUUUCAUUGCCACAAUUUGACCUGUGAGUCGAUUGCGGCCUUUAUAAACCACACCAUAGGUGCCUUCUCCAAUCUUUUCAAUUUUCUCAAAGUCCUCCAUUUCUAAAUUUAUAAAUUAAAAGGCCAAUUCAAAUUUCCGCGUUCUUAGAGGCGUCUAAAUCUAGAAGUUGCCAGACUUUCGAAAAUAAGAAUAAUAUAAUAUAUCGAUUGACAGAC